CAGUCUUUUAAGAGGAGGAAGUUUUCUGCUUCACGUUGGGAGGAUAGUGGGAGGUAUCAUUGGCAGGCAAGGACAUAUGAUAAUGGACCUUCAAUCUAUAGCAAUUUGGUCCACCCUCCUCCAAGAUCCAACAAUGAUGUCUCUACAUCUUCCAGCUGUAAACGAGAUCGCACAAUAAUGGAAGACGAUGAGCCUUUUUUUAUGUCCAG
rnacentral:misc_RNA from 1 species